rnacentral:rRNA from 1 species
UGGGGAAUAUUGGACAAUGGGCGAAAGCCUGAUCCAGCCAUGCCGCGUGUGUGAAGAAGGUCUUCGGAUUGUAAAGCACUUUAAGUUGGGAGGAAGGGCAGUUACCUAAUACGUAUCUGUUUUGACGUUACCGACAGAAUAAGCACCGGCUAACUCUGUGCCAGCAGCCGCGGUAAUACAGAGGGUGCAAGCGUUAAUCGGAAUUACUGGGCGUAAAGCGCGCGUAGGUGGUUUGUUAAGUUGGAUGUGAAAUCCCCGGGCUCAACCUGGGAACUGCAUUCAAAACUGACAAGCUAGAGUAUGGUAGGGGGUGUGGAAUUUCCUGUGUAGCGGUGAAAUGCGUAGAUAUAGGAAGGAACACCAGUGGCGAAGGCGACCACCUGGACUGAUACUGACACUGAGGUGCGAAAGCGUGGGGAGCAAACAGGAUUAGAUACCCCCGUAGUCCCUGAGCGGGCUGGCAAGGCGCAU